UACGUAGGGUCCGAGCGUUGUCCGGAAUUAUUGGGCGUAAAGAGCUCGUAGGCGGUUUGUCGCGUCUGCUGUGAAAUCCCGAGGCUCAACCUCGGGCCUGCAGUGGGUACGGGCAGACUGGAGUGCGGUAGGGGAGAAUGGAAUUCCUGGUGUAGCGGUGGAAUGCGCAGAUAUCUGGAGGAACACCGGUGGCGAAGGCGGCAUCCUGGACCAACACUGACGCUGAGUGAGCGAAAGCCAGGGGAGCAAACGGG
rnacentral:rRNA from 1 species